rnacentral:ncRNA from 1 species
UUAAAGUUUGAUUUUUGCUUAGUAAUUUUGUUCUAUAACUGUUAAUAUAUGCAAAUUUUGGUGAUUAAAAUUUACUUAAAGUGGUUUUAAAUAGUUGGCAAUAUUUAGUAUUGGUUAAUAAGGUUAUUCUUGAAUCGGUAAGUUAUAAUAAGUCUGAGAAAUUUUGUGCCAGCAGUCGCGGUUAAACUUGGGGGCUAAAUAAAAUUUAUUAGUUAAAGUUAAUUGAAUUAAAUUUAAAUUAGAGUUUAUGUUAAUAAAAAGUGAAAUUAGGUUAUUAAAUAUAAAAUUUUAUUUAAUUAUAGGUGUGAUGAAGCUUAAAAAGUUGGGGUAUGAAUUAGGAUUAGAUACCCUAGUACACUUAAAUUUAACUGUAAAAUACUAGGAUACUAGAAGUUAUAUUCUUUAAAUUUAAAGAAUUUGGCGGUACUUUAGUCUAGUUAGAGGAACCUGUCUCCUAAACGAUAAUACACGCAUUAUCUUACUUAUUUUAGUAGAUCAGCCUGUAUACCGUCAUUAUAAGAUAAUUUAAGAGAGAAUAUUAUUAAAAUCAUAUUAUAUGAGUAUAUUAGAUCAAGGUGCAGCUAAUGAAUAAGAAGAGGUGGGUUACAAUAAAAUUUAUUUACACGGAUUUAAUAUUUAAAUAUAUUAGUGAAGGGGGAUUUAAUUGUAAAAGGAAAUUAAUAAGGUUUUUUGAUAGGAGCUCUAAAUUAUGUACAUAUCGCCCGUCGCUUUCAUUUAAGGUGAAAUAAGUCGUAACAUAGUAGGGGCACUGGAAAGUACCCCUAGAAUUUU